GUUUCUUAUUUCAAUGAAGAAACUGUUUGUAAUUAAACUUAUCUUUUAAUUCACUUUCAGGUUGCGAGCAGGAACAGCAACAACACACAUGUCAUGAUCUAACUCUCUGUCAGUCUAUAUCACAGCAAUAUUCAGAGGUUCAGUCUAUCAGGAGGCUUUACUGUGCGAUUGGAUCUUCUCAGCACAGCAGACUCCUCCGGUUUCUCCUCAGGAUCUGACCAUCUUCUGUCCUGACAGUGUAAGACCUUGGCUUCACCUCCUCCAGGACUGUGGCUCUUUUAGUCCAGGUAUUGGAAUCCUCAAGUCUUACUGUGUCAUUAUUGGAGAGUGGCUCUAAGCUUUUUGAUGCCUUGUCAUAGUUUGUUUUUUGUCUCAGUUUCAGGUGCUUUUGUUUUCUUUUCAGGUACUUUCUCUUGUUUUCUGUUGCUAAGAAUGGAAGUGUGGUUUGUAACCUGUGCCCCAUCAGUAUUUCAGCAGGAGACACACCGUGUUCUAGUGGAGAAGCACGGUAAUUCAGCAGAGCUAAAUAAGGAUCUGAUUGACUGUCCACUGCUUUCUUGAGUAGUAGUUUCACAAUGUGAACUCCUUUCUCUGCCUUUCCGUU